rnacentral:rRNA from 1 species
GCAACAUGAAUACAUAGUGUUGCAAGGCGAACGAGGGGAAGUGAAACAUCUCAGUACCCUUAGGAAAAGAAAUCAAUUGAGAUUCCCUCAGUAGCGGCGAGCGAACGGGGAUCAGCCCAUUAAGUUAUGUGUGUUUUAGUGGAACGCUCUGGGAAGUGCGAACGUAGAGGGUGAUAUUCCCGUACACGAAAGGGCACACAUAAUGAUGACGAGUAGGGCGAGGCACGUGAAACCUUGUCUGAAUAUGGGGGGACCAUCCUCCAAGGCUAAAUACUCCUGACUGACCGAUAGUGAACCAGUACCGUGAGGGAAAGGCGAAAAGAACCCCUGUGAGGGGAGUGAAAUAGAUCCUGAAACCGCAUGCAUACAAGCAGUGGGAGCACCUUCGUGGUGUGACUGCGUACCUUUUGUAUAAUGGGUCAGCGACUUAUAUUCAGUAGCGAGGUUAACCGUAUAGGGGAGCCGUAGAGAAAUCGAGUCUUAAUAGGGCGUUUAGUUGCUGGGUAUAGACCCGAAACCAGGCGAUCUAUCCAUGAGCAGGUUGAAGGUUGGGUAACACUAACUGGAGGACCGAACCCACUGUCGUUGAAAAGCCAGGGGAUGACUUGUGGAUAGGGGUGAAAGGCUAAUCAAGCCUGGUGAUAGCUGGUUCUCCCCGAAAGCUAUUUAGGUAGCGCCUCGGACGAAUACCAUAGGGGGUAGAGCACUGUUUCGGCUAGGGGGUCAUCCCGACUUACCAAACCGAUGCAAACUCCGAAUACCUAUGAGUACUAUCCGGGAGACAGACUGCGGGUGCUAACGUCCGUAGUCAAGAGGAAAACAAUCCAGACCGCCAGCUAAGGCCCCAAAAUCAUAGUUAAGUGGGAAACGAUGUGGGAAGGCAUAGACAGCUAGGAGGUUGGCUUAGAAGCAGCCACCCUUUAAAGAAAGCGUAAUAGCUCACUAGUCGAGUCGGCCUGCGCGGAAGAUGUAACGGGGCUAAAACUAUGUGCCGAAGCUGCGGAUGUAUACUUUGUAUACGUGGUAGGGGAGCGUUCUGUAAGCCGAUGAAGGUGUGUUGAGAAGCAUGCUGGAGGUAUCAGAAGUGCGAAUGCUGACGUGAGUAACGACAAAACGGGUGAAAAACCCGUUCGCCGAAAGACCAAGGGUUCCAGUCCAACGUUAAUCGGGGCUGGGUGAGUCGACCCCUAAGGCGAGGCCGAAAGGCGUAGUCGAUGGGAAAAUGGUUAAUAUUCCAUUACUUCUGUGUAAUGCGAUGAGAGGACGGAGAAGGCUAAAUCAGCCUGGCGUUGGUUGUCCAGGUGAAAGGAUGUAGGCAUGUAUCUUAGGCAAAUCCGGGGUACUCUAUGCUGAGAUCUGAUAGCAAGCUGUACUUGUACAGCGAAGUGGUUGAUGCCAUGCUUCCAGGAAAAGUCUCUAAGCUUCAGUUACACAGGAAUCGUACCCGAAACCGACACAGGUGGUCAGGUCGAGUAGACCAAGGCGCUUGAGAGAACUCUGCUGAAGGAACUAGGCAAAAUGGUACCGUAACUUCGGGAGAAGGUACGCUGUUGUUGGUGAUGGAACUCGCUUCCUGAGCUGACGACAGCCGCAGAAACCAGGCCGCUGCAACUGUUUAUUAAAAACAUAGCACUCUGCAAACACGAAAGUGGACGUAUAGGGUGUGAUGCCUGCCCGGUGCUGGAAGGUUAAUUGAUGGGGUUAGCGUAAGCGAAGCUCUUGAUCGAAGCCCCAGUAAACGGCGGCCGUAACUAUAACGGUCCUAAGGUAGCGAAAUUCCUUGUCGGGUAAGUUCCGACCUGCACGAAUGGCAUAAUGAUGGCGGCGCUGUCUCCAGCAGAGGCUCAGUGAAAUCGAAAUCGCUGUGAAGAUGCAGUGUACCCGCGGCUAGACGGAAAGACCCCGUGAACCUUUACUGCAGCUUGACACUGAACUUUGACCUUACUUGUGUAGGAUAGGUGGGAGGCUUUGAAGCUGGAACGCUAGUUCCAGUGGAGCCGUCCUUGAAAUACCACCCUGGUAAUGUUGAGGUUCUAACUCUGUCCCGUGAUCCGGGACGAGGACCGUGUCUGGUGGGUAGUUUGACUGGGGCGGUCUCCUCCUAAAGAGUAACGGAGGAGUACGAAGGUGCGCUCAGCGUGGUCGGAAAUCACGCGUAGAGUAUAAAGGCAAAAGCGCGCUUAACUGCGAGACCCACAAGUCGAGCAGGUACGAAAGUAGGUCUUAGUGAUCCGGUGGUUCUGUAUGGAAGGGCCAUCGCUCAACGGAUAAAAGGUACUCUGGGGAUAACAGGCUGAUACCGCCCAAGAGUUCAUAUCGACGGCGGUGUUUGGCACCUCGAUGUCGGCUCAUCUCAUCCUGGGGCUGAAGCAGGUCCCAAGGGUAUGGCUGUUCGCCAUUUAAAGAGGUACGCGAGCUGGGUUUAGAACGUCGUGAGACAGUUCGGUCCCUAUCUACCGUGGGCGCUGGAAAUUUGAGAGGAUCUGCUCCUAGUACGAGAGGACCAGAGUGGACGAACCUCUGGUGUACCGGUUGUGACGCCAGUCGCAUCGCCGGGUAGCUAUGUUCGGAAGGGAUAACCGCUGAAAGCAUCUAAGCGGGAAGCCUACCUCAAGAUAAGAUUUCCCUAGGACUUUAUGUCCUCUAAAGAGCCGUUCGAGACUAGGACGUUGAUAGGUUGGAUGUGGAAGCAUAGUGAUAUGUGAAGCUGACCAAUACUAAUUGCUCGUGAGGCUUGACUAUACAACACCCAAGCAGUUG